UCUUAAGGCAUUACAUAACCUCACAACUGCAGAGCAGUGCCAGGGAUGUCCCCACUGCUGUUGGUUCCAUUGUACAGGUCCCGCUGUGCAUUCCCCUGAUGUACUACACUGACAGAGUUAUAGCAUAUACCAUGCCACAGUUCCAACUAGAAGAAAAAUUAAGCCCUGGCCAGAAUAAAGAAGAUUGGAACCCAUUCAGGGAAACUGUAAUGUUCAGGCAUGCCUUGUCAAUCUUCCCUCUCAAAAAAGGUGUUUGCAGCAGCUGCCCCAGAAGAGGCUGAAAAACCCCAACUCUCACCCUGUCUUCGUAUCAGAAGUGCUCCAGCCCUUCUAUGAAACAGUAAGUGUAUUUGAAGGAAUGAGGCAUCUGUGUGGGUUAAUAGCCUGCUUCUAGUUAUCCUUCAUGCUCACAUUAGUAGAGAAAAGCAGUGUCAGAAGUAGCCUGAGGAGAAAGGAACAAUACUGGGAGCUGUCAGGAGUUACAGUUAUCAGCACAUAGCUGGAAAUUUGAUAAAAGAGCCUGCUCAAAAAUAGCAUGAAAAUUAUUCUGGUUUUAUAGAUUAUAGACAUAGUUGUCUGCUUUCCCAGCAUUUAAUUGUUUGGGGGUUUGUUACCCCUAUAUAUGUAUCUAUGUCACAGUCUAUACAGUGUUUAAUGUACUGUUUAUAGAUUUGUGUUGUGUCAAAGAUUGGAAAGACACCCACCACGUGGCUGCUCAGCGCCUGGAUUUCACAUGUUGUCCCCAGGCCUCAGCACGUUCUUGUGGGAGCUUGUAGGCUGGGAGUGGGCAGAGGGGUGGAGAUGAACCACAGCUUUCCUUCCAACCUAAUGAGUGCCUGCCAGCACAGCUGAGCUGGCAGAGUGAGUGUUGUCAAUUGCUUCUGGCAUAGUCCACAUGACUCGUUCCCAUUUCCCAGAGCCAAGGAAGAGCAAGAAAAACAUGCACCAUACAAGCAAACUCAUUUAAUGCAGAGACCUCAUGAGGCUGCAAAAAUGUUGGUUGGCUACCCCCUGCAGCUCAUGCAGGAUUGCUGCGAAAACGAGCGUGAACAUGGGCAGGUGUCAAAGCAACCAAAAUAUACUGAGAUAAAUAGUCUCUUACCUAUCUGUAAUGGUAGCCCUAUACAGUUAGGUGCCUGUGUGUGGGAACAUAGGGUGAAUGUCCCUGCACUCUUGGAGUCAGUGAUGAGAGGGAGGUGACUGCAGUCACCAGCGUAUCUUUUUCAAGUGGCCCUUGGGAUAAGCCCUUUUUCUCUGAUACCCAUGGAGUGAAUUUAAUGAAACUAGGCAGCUACUGCAGGUGCAAACAUUAGGUGGUAUGACUGCCACAUUUUCUUCCCCUGCAUGUUUCAUGGAGUCACUGAGGUUGGAGGGAGCCUCCAGAGAUGCUCUAGUUUAACCCCUUGAUCAAGCAGGGGCAGCUGGAGAUGGUUGCUGAGAGCUGUGUCCAGUUGGACAUUGAGUAUCUUCAAGGAUGGCAAGUACACAACAUUUCUGGAUAACCUGUUCCAGUGUUUCAUCACCUGCAUGAUAAAAAAGUGUUUACUCACA